GCCCUUUAUUUUCGGAUGAGGAGCGCCUAUAUAAGUCCUGUCGGUUUCGACCGACUAUGGCGAUAAACGGGCUACAUAAUAAGCCAUUCGGACCCGGGGGCGGUACCCGGCGCCUCCACCAAUUAUCUCCCCGUCGUGGCGGGAAUUCCUGGGGGCGAACUAGGAUCGACGAGGGUGUAAAAGUAGUUCUUUUGCCCGGCAUGGUUCCGCCGUCAUCGGGCCGUUUUAUAGUUGCCAACGACAACUAUGCUGAGGUUGCCGUCGCUGCGUAAUGCAGUGCCAGCACUUCGAUUGAAGUCCUUGACUUUAGCCGGUUAAGGCGGGGUUCGGGGGUACCUGGCAACAGAAACCCCCACU
rnacentral:tmRNA from 1 species